GUUUGAUCCUGGCUCAGAACGAACGCUGGCGGCAGCCUAACACAUGCAAGUCGAGCGCGCCCUUCGGGGUGAGCGGCGGACGGGUUAGUAACGCGUGGGAACGUGCCCAGAUCUAAGGAAUAGCCACUGGAAACGGUGAGUAAUACCUUAUACGCCCUUCGGGGGAAAGGAUUUAUCGGAUUUGGAUCGGCCCGCGUUAGAUUAGGUACGUUGGUGGGGUAAUGGCCUACCAAGCCUACGAUCUAUAGCUGGUUUUAGAGGAUGAUCAGCAACACUGGGACUGAGACACGGCCCAGACUCCUACGGGAGGCAGCAGUGGGGAAUCUUGGACAAUGGGGGCAACCCUGAUCCAGCCAUGCCGCGUGAGUGAUGAAGGCCUUAGGGUCGUAAAGCUCUUUCGCCUGUGAUGAUAAUGACAGUAGCAGGUAAAGAAACCCCGGCUAACUCCGUG
rnacentral:rRNA from 1 species